rnacentral:rRNA from 1 species
UACGAAGGGGGCUAGCGUUGUUCGGAAUUACUGGGCGUAAAGGGCGCGUAGGCGGCCUGCUAAGUCAUACGUGAAAUCCCUCGGCUCAACCGAGGAACUGCGUCUGAUACUGGUUGGCUUGAAUUCGGGAGAGGGAUGCGGAAUUCCAGGUGUAGCGGUGAAAUGCGUAGAUAUCUGGAGGAACACCGGUGGCGAAGGCGGCAUCCUGGACCGAGAUUGACGCUGAUGCGCGAAAGCCAGGGGAGCAAACGGG